GGGGCCGUAGCUCAAUUGGGAGAGCGCUGCGUUCGCAAUGCAGAGGUUGCCGGUUCGAUCCCGGUCGGCUCCA
rnacentral:tRNA from 1 species